UGGGAAGAGAACCCAAACAUGUGAAUUCCUGCAGAUGCUGGAAUACAGAGCUGACCAGAAGACUUUCUGUGUGUGCCGCAGCUGCAGUGGGAAACAUGGUAAUCAGCUGGAGACUACUAUGUGGUGCUCAAAAGGCCUCCUCUUCCAGGAAGCCCACGCUGAUCUUCAGAGGCAAAAGAACAAUUCUUCAUUCUCUCGCGCUGCUUUGGUCAGCCAUUCCCUGUAGUUCGGGUCGAUCCCGGACUGCCUCUGCGAGGGUGAGUGACCCCCGGGGCUCAACCGGCUUCCUCGCUCUGCCACGUGGAGGCGUCACGUGGGCGGAGCCGGCUCCCUCUUCCCCGCAGUGAGGCCGAGACCAGCUACGUCGAGGUCGCGCACACCUCUCUUCCGGACUUCUCUCCGACGACGCAGAUCUCCAGGACCCACCUGGGGUCACUGCUGUCGCACAGGCUUGUGGCCACCCAGAUGUGCGCGACGGGCAGUGUUCUUUGGCCAAGCUCCCUGAUGGUAUCAGCUACUCAAUGUGUUUGUAGACACAUCAUUGACUUAACUUUAUUUUGAACACAUUCUAUUUAUAGAAAGUUUAAAAAAAAGUUCAAGAGGUCCCUUAAUGUGUGUCCCCAGUAGAGACAUGUUAUAUAACGGCAGAGGCUGAACAUCCCCAAUGUGAAAACCUGGAUACACAGUGCUGCAAAACCUUGAACUGCUUGCGUGGAUGACGCUGCAGGCGGGACCCACGCCCGAGCCCAUGUGGUAGUCACAGUCAAAACGCAGGUGCACUAAAGUUACUGUAUGAAAUGACCCCCGGGCUAUGGGUACAGGGUGUCCGUGAGACAGAAGUGAUUUUCCUGCUUAGACUUGCAACCUGUCCUCCAAGAAAUCUCAAUAUGUAUGUGGAAAUCUUCAAAAGUCAGGAAAAAAAAAAUCUGAAAUUUGAAACAUGGGUUCCCAAGGAUUCCCCAGACAAGGGACACCCGGCCUGUAGCACAACAUCACCAUCAGGAACUUGACAUUGGUACAGUCCACAGAGUUUAUUCCGACUUCACUAGUUAGAUGUAGAGGGAUGUGUGUGUGUGUGUGUGUGUGUGUGUGUGUGUGUGUGUGGAUUACUUCACUGUCUGUGGAGACUUAUGUAACAACCAUCACAACCUUCUAUAUCCACCCAACCCUGUCCCUGGUAAACACUAUUAAUCUAUAAUUCUAUCAUUUAAAGAAUGUUCCAAAGAAGGAAAACAGGGAAACAAACUUUGUGAAUGGGGAGGGGAGGG